rnacentral:misc_RNA from 1 species
GAAAAGUCCACGCUGGACAAGCCGGUAGAGACGAUCCGGCGCCACAGUUUAGUCCCGCCCUCCUCAAGUUCCGCCUCCAACAGCAACAGCCUCAUCACCACCAAUGGGCCCGGCGGCGGCAGCAUCAGCAACAACCCCGUCAUCUCCAUCACCACCGACGACCUCAGCCCAGACCGCCCACGACGACCCAGCACGCACAGUUUGGGACCCUUUUCUGACUUUGACCGGCGCGGUAGCCGCGGGAGUAUAUUCGGCACGCUGGGUAUAGGCGACUUCACGGGCGGCAACUCCAGCAGUUCCUCGCACAACCAGAGGCGGCCCAGCUUCCAGGCGUUUGGCGAGAGCGUGAUGCAGCUCUUUGGCAACAAGUGACCAUGGCACGCGUCCCGUUGUUUCCCCUUCGUUGUAAAGUCCGGCACGGAAUGCACACAGCGAUGUCGACUGAUGUGGAGCUCUCUAGGGACAAGGAUUAUCAUCGCUCCCUGUAGCGGUGGGCUUGAGUAGUAGACUGGCGUGGCUGUUGGCGACUGAAACUAACUAACUGUCCCCGUUGGAUCGAGGAACUGCUACACUUUACAAUGAGACAUCGUGAAUUCCAUGUUUUUUCUCUCUCCUUUUUGUAACGAAAAACUUGCUCAAAAAUGGCUGCGUUCUUAUUCUGAGUGACAGCAAUAAUAAUGAGGGCCUAUAACUGAAUCUCAAAACAUAACAAUAACCCUUUUAUCAAUCUCCUUCACCAAAAUGUUGACAUGAUAUUUGACUUUUUUACUUUUAAGAUUAUUUCAAAGGCCAACAGAAGACAGAGUAAAUCUAGGCCGAAUAGAGAAGCUACCUCGUCGACCAUCGUGUGACUGUCAAUACGUUCGCUUCUCUUAUAUUCUAUGUUGGAACAGAACUUAAAAACACGAUCAAAAUCUGCUGUUACUCUGUCUGUCGCAAUAUUGGUGACGUCUGCGUCAUGCAAAGCAGUCUCCAUUGAAAAAUAAGAAAUAAAAUGAUGUGAAAGAUGCAAUAACAAAAUGAGCGUUAUCAAACUAUUAAAACUUACUUUUAUAACAGUCAACGGAACAGAAACAGGUUGCAGGGACUCUAUUUUUAGACAAGUCCAGUGCUGACAGAGCAAGGAUGAGUAGCUCACUGCUGUUUUCCACCAACGUUGCGUGAUCUCUACAAACAUUAAGGAAUCGAACUAAGCAAUAUAAAGAAAGAGAGAGAGAGCUAUUUCUGCUUGGCGAGCCAUGUUGUUGAGUCGUUGUGUACUAUACAUAUUGCAUAGAAUCCCUCCUGGCCUUCCCAAUAAGAUGUUAUACCAUGUUUUUGCACACACAACCCUGAGAGUUUCUCUCCGUCUCUGUCUCUCUAUCUCUCUCUUUCUGUCUCUGCUUGUUGGCCUCUCCCACCCUCUCUUGCCAAACUGUGUCCUCCUCCCCUCUAUCAGUGUUAAUUGUUUUGCACUUUUCCAAUUUAAUCAAUUUCAAACAAAAGGGACAUUUUUGCAAGUCAUUUCUGUCCACGAUAUAUUCUUAUGUUUCUUCUAAUAAUAUUAUUUACAGCAUCGUUGAUAUGUAUACAAGAAUGUCGUACUUAUAAUGCAUAAAUUCCAUUAAAUGAAGCUUAUGAUCUGGAGAGCCUUCUGUGUGUGAGUGGAUAAAAAAGAAUUGGUGACGAUUGAAAUAAACUUGAAUUUUGUUCAUUGAUUUGAGAUA